AGAGAGAGAGAGAGAGAGAGCGAAUCGAACGAAGGCGAAAUGUUGGCACGGUUCCAGGAGAGCGAAGGUCGCGCGUUCCAGCAAGUGUCCUCGGACCACGAUGUGAAGCAACUCAACGAUAGGAACGAUCUUUCGCUGUUUGUUUUU